GUGGCUUCUGUGGUUGAGCUUGGGAGGAUGAAACUUAGAGCCCUCAAUGAGAAUCAGAAUAUUAGCUUGUUUUUCAGGAAAAAAAAAUUAAAAUAGGACUGUAAAUAGCUGGAUGGUGAAUCUUCAAUAUUUUCAAAAGCAUCUGGGUAAUUUUUUAUAUUUUAAAAAAUAUAUACUUAUAUCUGCUUUGUAUUGUCAACACUCAGGGACCAAGUUCUACCUGACAAACAGGGGAUCACUUCUGAAAACAGAUAGAACUAUUCCACUGGAAUUUUCGGACCAGAAAUGCCCCAAAUUUUCCCUAAAGCCUCCAGCUUGGAAUGAGGAAUUGUUGGCAGAGGCAACAACAAGGAUAUCUCAAGAACUUUAACUUGCUGCAAAUUCUUUAGUGUUGACUUCUGUAGAUCUUAUGGAAUUUAUAAUCAGCUGCAAAUCUACAAAUGUCACUCAGAGUAGAUCCUGGUCUUGCAUGUUUUGUACCUCUUCACGUUGUUCAGUUCAUCCACAUCCAAGGAUUUGGAGUGCCUAGAGGUGCCUGGGUUAGUAGUAGCUGCAGUGGACAAUUCUUCCCCAUCAGUGCAGUGAAGCACUCACUCACAUUUGACUGCUUGGAAAACUCCCUGAAGUGCAGGCUCUUUGAGUUUCACCAGAGGGAUGUAUGUGAAUGGGCUUAGUGCUGUGUUAGAGAUAAACCAGCAGAAUCACCAAAGUCUGUGGUGGCUCCCAGCCCCUGCCCUAUGCACCACUGAUAAUACAUGAAGCAUUUCACUGCAGCUGGUCUGGGGAAUUGUAUUAAAUAGUAAUGUCCAUAGUCCUCAAUUAAAAUUCUUUAUUAGAUGAGUAUGUGGCAGUCUGCAAGAAAAUCUGAGGUCUGAGGGUAGUCUGCUACCUGAAAGCUCAGAGGAUGUUUGCUGUACAGGAAUAUGUCUCAGGUCAUGGGCCAUGAGGUGUUGGGAGGUGUUUUGUUAAUAUUUUCAAAUUAAACACAUGCCCAGUUAAAUGCAUGUAUUUUAUUACUCAUACAAACAAACAAAACAACAACAAAAUAACUUCAAAAUAAGAUAAAGAAAAUAAAAGUGCUAAAUGGACACUGAAGCCUCAGCCUAGUUCAUGUCUGCUUGUGUGCAAAGCCUGCAUUCCCAGUGUCUGCAGGGCCAAAGAAGCUCAGCUUUAGAGAGCAGCACAUUGGUGUGGCCUGGAUCAGGGCUGCCAAAGGUCUCUGGGUUCUGGAGGAAGCAGGGAGGGCAAAUGAGCACUGGGACCCACAGGUGUGCUGGCAAAAGGUCCUAAACAAGUGCUGCGCUUCCGUCUGCUUUUACUCCUUCCUCUCUGCCUUGAGAGUGUGUGGCUGGUGUCCAGAGGAAAAGUCAAACUAAUUCUGAUGCCUUUUCCUAUUCUGGGUGGACUAAUUCAGAGAAAGCACUUAUGGCUGCCUUUGUGGAAGGGUUACAAUAUAGGUUCAUACUUUAGGAACUGUAGGAAGUUCUUAAUCCUUCCCUGCCUAUGGGGCUGUCAUUUAUAGACCCGCUAUUGUCUCAUCUUUUAUAAGGAUGUUUCCUUACAUUAAGGUUCUAAGAGCAGCCAGACUUUGCCAUUGUUCACAGCUAUUUCUGUUUGUGGCUUAAUGCACAUCUAGUAUUCUGUUUAUGCUUUCACUGCUCUCCUACGCAGCAGACUGUACCUACACACCAGCUUAGGUGACAUCACUCUCAAAGCAUUCAUUCCUGUGUUUCUUUUUUUUCCUCCUGAUUUGUCUGUGCAUCUUGAUUUUGCAUUAGCCUAGUUUAUUAUAAGUAACCUGAUAAAAUACAUUGGAACUUUAUGCAUUUAGUUGUCAUUUCAUCUUCAUUUCUUGUUUGAUAAACUUGCUUAUAAAAAAAGCUUUUAGGUGUUUUUUUUUUUUAAUAACAGCAAAACCCCUCUUACAAUGUAAGAAGAAUGAAUUCAGCCAUGAGCAGAAGAAAUUGAAGCAUAGAUCAUUUUGAAUGUGUAAAAUUUAGCUUGGUGUUAAUGGUGGUUUAAUUACUGAAUUUUUUUUUUGUUAUGGCUAUUCAUAAAGACAUCCAUUGUUUUCUGGUUUGAUUUAUGUCCAGAUUAGCCCCCUUCAGAACCUCAUUUCUGGCAAUCUCAGCAACACGUGAGGGCCUGGCAGCUUGUGCAGACAUUGCCAUCUUCCCUCACUGCUCCUUCUCCUGAGCUGUUCCACCAGCUCCACAGCCUGCCAUUCCUCAGGAGCCCUUACUGAUACCUCUCCUCCAUCGUCUGCCCCAUGGCCCUUCCAGAACCAGGUGCUUUUGUUGAAGUUUUCAAACCAAUUUAGAAAUAGAUACUGAAAUAAGGGCAGGUGAUGCGGUGGUGGGAUGACAUUGUGUCACUGCCUUCCUGUCCUGCAUGGGAAAAUAACAGACCUCCAGAGCUCAGCUCUAUAGCAAUACAAUGAGAAUGAUAAAAACAACAUCUUUGCCAACCACUUAUAUGUCUGAAAAAUUUGAUGCAAAUUAAAAGCUACUUAGGUUUUGUCAAACCUAACUCUACCCAGCACUUCACCUUCUCCGCCACCCUCUCAGCUGCUCGAGACUUGCCAAUAAGCCUUUUAGAGUCACUGCUUUUGCAUGGUGUCCUGCAAAAUGUGACAUUUGGGCUUUUAAACUGCCCUUGUGUCAUAACAUACAUAGCAACACUAAUAUAUCCUUUUUCCACAUGCAUCCUCACUUUGCUGGAAAAAAAAAAAAAUCUCAAUUCUGAACAAACUACAAACAGCCUGCUCAUGCAGGGUGAGGAGUGCCCGGCAACCUUUGUGUGCUCAAGGCACAGCUUUAUCCCGGCCAUCAGUGGGACAGUGCACAUGGGAACGUGUGAUCUAUUCCUUCCUCAGCCCCAGUGAUGCCUUGCUUUGCAGUUCCUCUCGCUGGUGAGUCGCUCUUGUAAUUUCCAGUUAUGUAACCCAUCUCAUUUUGUGAAUAUGUGAAUUUAACAGCUGUCAGUGUCAGCAGCGCCUGGGAGGGGUGUGUGUCUUUUUUUUUUUUUUUUUUUUUUGGCAAGCUGGCAUUACUCAUCAGUCUCAUGGUAGUUUUGUUUGAAAAAUGCUUGUGUUAGAAAAAGUGGAUUUAUCAGCUCAGCACUGUAUGGUGCUAGCAUGCAGCUCAACAAAAGACAAGUGCUCAUUUCAGUAACGCUUGCAGCAUUUCAUGGGGCCCCCAAAUAGGCUGAACAAGGCUUCUCUGGCAACUAACCCCAAGUACAGUGGGAAACUAUUAAAGUGGCAGUGUCACUGCUUGGAAAAGGGAUUUGGUUUUCUUCCAUCAUUUAUUGCUGUAGGGGGUUUUUUGUUUGUUUGUUUGUUUGUUUGUUUUCUUAUUAAAGACUAUGAACCGCAUUAGGAAUUUCCCUGAAUACUGGAGAAAAAGGAGGCCUUACUGAAAAUUUGUGCUUCUAGAAGUGACUUUUUUCUCUCAUGAUUUCUUGGAAGAUAGAUCAAAAUGUCAGUCUGCCCUUCCCAAAGUGGAUCUGUUUUAUGGGGAAAAAUAAGAUACUUGCAGCUUUUUCAAGUAAUACUACAAAGUCAGUGGUACUGCAGCCUUUCAGAGAGAAAUCAUUCUCUGUUCAAAUCAGUUUAUUUUCAGAAUGAUUUGCUGCACUUACACUUUCUUUUGUAGCUGCUCUUCCAGAAUGCAAAUACAACCUGGAGAGUUUUCUGUAUUUAAUUGAAUGUGUCAGGUGGUUGAAAUCAUGUUUUAAAACCAGCAUUACAUACUGCAAAUGUGUCAAACCCUUUGUUCACAUUUAUUUAAAACAAAUGUAUCUUUCAGUAUUUGUUUAUUUAUUCUCUCUGUUUACAUUUCACACAGAUGGUAAAGAUAAACCAGUGGGUUUAAUUUUUGUUGAAAAAUUGCCUUUUACGUUUUUAGGUUCUCAUAAUCCUGGCAAGAUUCUACAAACCCCACGUGACAAAGAUCACAGGGAAAUACUUGAAGAAACCUCUGCCAUUAGCUGUGCUGUAAGAUUUAUAAAAGGUUCAAUUUCAUAAAAUGCAAAUUCUGGACUAAUUGUUCCUCUGCAAGCCUUAAUGGUCUCUGAGCUGCAUAGUUAAUCUACUACCUGCCUCUACUCACGUAUCCAGCAGAAUUUAGAGCUGGGUAAAACACGCCUUCACACAUCACUUACAUCUAUUUUAACUUUUCUUUUGACAAGUUCUACUGAUUGUGUCCAGACAAAUGGAUUUGGACUUGCACACUCUUAAAGCUGCACAACAGACAAGCACAUCCCCCGUGGGGACACCCACCCACAAAAAUGUUUCCAUGGGUUCACCUCCCAUGCAUGGGUGGGCUCCAGAUGCUGCCAUGGUUGAGGGGCAGGAAUGAGUGGAUGCAAUUCCUGGGUCCUCUUCUGUUUCCCCUUGGAGAGAGGUGGCUACAGGGAGCUGUCUGCUCUCUGCAGGGACACAGGUUAUCCACAGCUCCUCAGAGCUGUAGAGGCCAGAAACAUGAAUGCACUGCAGCAUUGUUGUGCCUGCACAAUCACCAUGCACCCCUGCAGCUGCAGUGUCCUGCAGCCACCUCUGGAUACCAGGAGCUCACUGUGAUCAACCCUCUGGCCUUCCAACAAAGGUGAAGACAACACUGAGGUAGCAGGUCAGAUACUCAUAUCAGCUUGGUACUCAGAAAACUGGGUACUUGCUGCAGUGUUUGUGAAGUGUGACAAAUCAGAGACCCUGGGUCUUUAGUCAGACCAGGCACAGGUCAGGGACUGAAAUAUUUGUCCCACACCUACCUCAGCAAAGUUGUGGUUGUUGACUUAAGUGACAACAGAAUUGAGAGGACUGGGAUGUCUCAGCCCAAAGUCCCUUAAGCCUUGGCUUGAUGGGUGAGAUCUUGAACACAGCCAGAGCCAAUGACAUUAAAGGCUUUAUAAAAGCAACAGUGCCAGUUUAAAAUCAACCUCCCACAUUACCAGCAGCCUCAGCAGGUGUAACAUGAUCCAGGUAGCCCAAGCCAGUGAGUAAACAAACUGCUGCUUUCUGAAUGAGCUGCACCAGAGAAAUGCUUCUAACUGGGAAUUACAGUGGCUAUUUGCACUAAAUGAGUUGUGCAAAUGAACAGGCUCCUAUGAUUCUAAUUCUUAUUCCCCACAGGUUUUUCUCUCUACACCCAAAAUGAAGUAGGGAAAAAGUUGUAGGGAAAAAAUUCCUUGAUAAGCCUGGAAAGUUUAGUGGGAUUGGGCCUGAUCUAGCUGCUUGAACUUCAGUGGGGUCUGUUGCUGGGUUUCCCUAAGUUAGAGAAAACAAUCCUGCUGCUUCCAAACUGCCAAGUCAGUCAGAGGAAUUUAAUAUUGUCCCUAAAGAACCGCUCUGCUGCUCUUCUGCUGGGUUCCCAGUUCCAUUUCCAGUAAGCAGUAUUAACUUAGGGGCUUUUUACUUGGCUACAACAUUGCCCAUUUUUUUUCUCCUUCAGCUCCAGCUCUUAAACCUUCAUAGAGCCUUGCUGUGUAGGCCAGCUGAGCAGAGGCUGAAUACACCAUUUUAGAUCCUCUCGGUGUUACUGCCUGGCUCCCCAACUGGAGAAGUGCACAAAAGCAAAGGAGGUGGAUCUGUCCAAGUAGAGCCUGGACCGUGACAAGUCUCAUGGGCUUGGCAGGGUCUAAGACUCACUGUGGAGUCCUUGGAAUGUGCAGACUGAGGGUGCACCACACUGAGGAUCCAGCAGCCCAGCUCUGCUCCAGCGUUUCUGCCUCCCAGUCUGGGUUCCAUCCUGCCCCAGAGAGCCUCUCCCCCCUCCCCUGCCCACACUCCACUUAUUCAUGAGUUAUGAUAACAUAUAAGCAGCUUAGAGAAUUCUUAUCAGAAUAAGUUGAACACAAUGCAACAUUUAACUCUUAAUGACAGCCACCUCUGACUGUGAGUGACAUGUUAUAAAUUAUGUUUGAACUGGAUUUUUUUUUUUCUUCAGAGGCAGAUAUUCCCUCUGCCACCCAGUCAGCCCUGUAACGUUGCACUUGUGGCCUUAAUCCCACUUGGAUGUGUGCCCUGCUGCCUCCACUUUCCGUCACUUGGGUACUUUAGUAUUCUUGAACAAGUGAACAAUCUUUGUUUCUGUACCUUAUUAGGCCAAAGACCAUAGCAGCGAGUGAUGGCAUCAGCAGGCCCUGCAGGCAGGAUUCUCUGCAGACACAGCCAACCUCCAACAAACCCCUUUUUAUCCUCCUGUUUCUAGGAAGAAUUAUGAUGGUGGUGCCCUGCUGUUGAUCAGUCAAAUCUGUGGUAGGCCUAGAGAUAAGUCCUGUAAGUGUGGUGUACUGUAAAACAGCGGCUCCCAUUCAUUAGUAGCUUGUGUGUAAUAAACCACCCAAAGGAGGGGGGUGGGGAGGGAGAGGGACGAGCAGCUGCAGUGUGCAGGAACAAACAACACAACUCAUUCUUGGGAGCCAAAACUUUCUAAUUUGCUGCUGGGCUGCUGGGAGCACUCAAAUUCUUUCUGAUAAUAUGCUCGUGCCCUCAGUGUCUCUCCUGGUGUUUCCCAAGUCCUGCUCUCUCGAGGUCCCCGAGUCUGGGAUAGUUUCACUUUGAACCCAAAACACAGAGGGGAGCUGAGUGGGGAGGAGGGGAACACAUCAGUGCCCAGUGUUUGCAGAUUCCGGCAUAAGAAAUCCUGGACUCCCAAUGGUUCCGCUGGGAAUGGCUGGUGCAUGGAUCUGCUCCUGCAGUGAGUAAACAAAGCAUCACAUGGGCUGAGAGCAAGCAGGAGACAGGGAGCAAACCCAGGGCUAUCUGGGCAUGCUUGAGGACAGAGCAUCUCAGAUGUGUUACUGACUUACAGCCCACUGGAAUAUUUAGGAACCUCUGUCUCCCAAGAGGUAAAAACCUCAAACAAACCUCAAAUGAGUAAUAGCUGAAAAAUUAUUUGGCUUAAUCUGUUCCAGUUUUUUUCACAAGUUCUGGUAAAUCUUUAUAGCUUGUAGGCAGGUGAAUUUAAAUGCAGUCUGCUAAAUAUAAUGUAAGAUGUUGCAUGUGUUGAGACACAAGUAGUUCCUAAUAUUUGCAUAGCUGUGAAUACAUUGGUGCUUUUGGAUCUCAGCCUUGGACCUUCCAACUGCCUGUGGAAUAUUUCAGACCAGGAUGUGAAAUUAUUGAGCAUUGCACAACUGCUCUCAUAGACCAGGCCUUUGUGCUGCUGUUUGUAUUAUCACAGGAAAAUGAAAUGAUUUUCAGAUAGCUGCUGCUCUGGAGGAGUGCUGUACCCUCAUAGAAGAUGACAGUGGCUGCUUUUUCCAGGGAUGUACCAGGCUGUGAUGGUGCUUGGACAGUCUCCUAACAUUUGUAUAGACAAGGGUUACUUUAAUGGCAAAUUCAGGCUUGGGCCAAAAUGCAAGCACUCUUUAUAUAGACAAGGCAAAAUCGCAGAUUUGAGGUUUUCCACACUGCUGGAGGAGAUCCAUCUCCCUCCUCUCUAGGAGGAGCUGUGCUGUGAGUUUUAAGCUCUGAAAUGAGAGGGGCUUCUGCCUGUCUGCUGCUUGGUAAAGUUACCCAGUGGGCUGAGAUGAAAACACCCUGAAGAGCAUCCACAAAACAGUGUUAACUAAACCUGGGCACAAAAUGUUUUUGUUUUGUUUUUUAUUCUUCUGAAAGUUCAGGUAGUACAGCUUAGGUAGUUCUGAUUGUGGCAUUUUGGCAUUUUGAACAAAGUCAAAAUAUCUUGACAUUUUGGUUUUCCUUCCCCAGACUUAGGUAGGUAGGUAAGUUGAUAGCUUUAUAACAAAAAUUGGCUGCUCACUGCCCAUUCCCAGCAUAGAACCUGACCUCUCUAUGCUGUUUCCAGGAUUUUCAACUAGAACUGCAACAAGGAGCAUUUUAUGGGAAUCUCUCCAUGACUUUUCAAAGCAAAUUGCAAAGGUAACACCUCUGGUAAUUGCUGCACUGUGUAAGUAGAGGAGAGACCCAUCAAUUGGAAAACUCCAGCACUGGUCAGACUGCCCUGCUCCCAGACAGCUGGCAGCACACAGCAGGUACCUACCUGUGGUCCUGCUGUCAGCAGGUUUGAAGUUAUAGAUGAGACCAGCAAACUGAGUGAAUGUUCUGGGUAGCUAUGAAACCGAGGGGUGGAGGGUUUUGUUUCAGAGGGUUUCAGCCCCAUCUCCAGCACAAGCAAAGCCAUGUAAUCCUUUCUUUUGCAAUUAGAGCUGAAAAAUAGCCCCGGGCCAGAGCACUUGCACAAGGAGCAAUUAGACAAGCUAGACACUGGGAAAAGCUAAAAAUAGCAGAUAAUCUGCCUCCACAAAAAUACCUUGAAUCAUUAGAAAAGGACAUUUUAUGAAUUUCCUGGGAAUCAUUUAGUACUUUAAUAUGUUCACAGUGUUCUGCCUGAAGGGGCUAUAUUCCAACUGCUGCUUGGCAGAGGAGACAAUUCAAGAGGAAAAAAGCUAUAAUAUGAAACAGCAAAUUGUGAGCAUCUGUGCACACAGCCCUAUGUGUCCUGGUACCACUGCUGGCACACUGGCUCUCAGAGGACUUUCAGUGAUGGGUGACAGCUUUGGGUUCCUGUCCCUCUGUUUCUGUGUGGGGCCUCCUGUUUAUUCCCAGAGCUGCUCGUCCCCAUCCCAGCGGAACGCGCUGCAGCACUGCCAGCACCCCACCAGCCUCAUGGCAGGGCUGUGAUACUGGAAUUCCAGGAGCUCUUUCCCCACUGCUCUUGGGGCAGCAGCGAUUUUGGUGGCGAAGGGGCUGUGUGGGGUCUCGGGGUGCGGGAGGCACCGUCAGUGCUGGAGCUCCUGCGGGAGCUGGGCCCGAGGGGUCUGUGCAGGAGUUAAUCCAUGUCUGUGCUGUGCAUCCAAACUGGGGCUGUUUGCUCCCCCAGCUGCUGCCAUGACUGGGGCUGGGGAGGGCAGCUCUGGGGCUGGAAUUGCCGGGAUCCAGCCCGUCCCUUCGGCAUCCCCCGGCUUCUGAAACCGCAUAAAGUUUCUCCUAAAUGUGAAUUUAAAACGCUUUCAAAUUGACAACCUCCUUUUAAAUAAAAACAUUUAUGUUAAGCAAAAGGGAUGUUUGCUUUUACAAAUAAAUGGAAUUAUGGUUCUAAGAUCUGACUUAAUCCUGAAGUUCUUAGACUGCACAGUAAGUAGAAAAGAAAGAGGAUUGCUUGGAGGAGCAGGGGUUAGCAGGAUCAGGCUCCAUGUUACAUCUUCUUGCUUAUUUUCCUUCUGGCAUUUAACAUACCUUUCUCAGAACUACCAAUGGCUAUUUAUAACAAAGGCAAAAUAACUUCACAUCUAUUACCUAAUUGAAAAUAACGAGGGAUGGUACAGAGUGUGCCCAUCCAGCUUUCCUGCUGGAAAAAAUGUGAGGAUUCCUAAACAAACAAAAACUGCUCCCCCUCCAAAUGUAUUCUUAUGCUAAAGUCAUGUCCUUUUGAAAUUAAUUUCAGGACUUUUCUCAAAUGCAUUGUAAUUCUUUGUUCUUUUUCUACACAGUUUUCUUUGUGAAAAUGUAUUUAAAAAUCUGCAUUGAGGUUUCAAAGGGUCUGAAGGAAGACAUUUACAGAGUAAUAAUGCCAUUUGUAAUUGUUAUAUUUCUGAAAAUGGAAUUACUGAUCAGACAACAUUAAAAUACUUUUGUAUUA